rnacentral:rRNA from 1 species
ACGCUAGCUACAGGCUUAACACAUGCAAGUCGAGGGGAAACGGCAUUGAGUGCUUGCACUCUUUGGACGUCGACCGGCGCACGGGUGAGUAACGCGUAUCCAACCUUCCCAUUACUGUGGGAUAACCUGCCGAAAGGCAGACUAAUACCGCAUAGUCUUCGAUGACGGCAUCAGAUUUGAAGUAAAGAUUUAUCGGUAAUGGAUGGGGAUGCGUCUGAUUAGCUUGUUGGCGGGGUAACGGCCCACCAAGGCGACGAUCAGUAGGGGUUCUGAGAGGAAGGUCCCCCACAUUGGAACUGAGACACGGUCCAAACUCCUACGGGAGGCAGCAGUGAGGAAUAUUGGUCAAUGGACGGAAGUCUGAACCAGCCAAGUAGCGUGCAGGAAGACGGCCCUAUGGGUUGUAAACUGCUUUUGUAUGGGGAUAAAGUUAGGGACGUGUCCCUAUUUGCAGGUACCAUACGAAUAAGGACCGGCUAAUUCCGUGCCAGCAGCCGCGGUAAUACGGAAGGUCCAGGCGUUAUCCGGAUUUAUUGGGUUUAAAGGGAGCGUAGGCUGGAGAUUAAGUGUGUUGUGAAAUGUAGACGCUCAACGUCUGAAUUGCAGCGCAUACUGGUUUCCUUGAGUACGCACAACGUUGGCGGAAUUCGUCGUGUAGCGGUGAAAUGCUUAGAUAUGACGAAGAACUCCGAUUGCGAAGGCAGCUGACGGGAGCGCAACUGACGCUUAAGCUCGAAGGUGCGGGUAUCAAACAGGAUUAGAUACCCUGGUAGUCCGCACAGUAAACGAUGGAUGCCCGCUGUUGGUACCUGGUAUCAGCGGCUAAGCGAAAGCAUUAAGCAUCCCACCUGGGGAGUACGCCGGCAACGGUGAAACUCAAAGGAAUUGACGGGGGCCCGCACAAGCGGAGGAACAUGUGGUUUAA